AUAGCCAAAACGUUGUGUUUUCUUUCUUCUUUUUUUUCAGCAUGGAAUAAACCUAUUACUUGUUACUUUCCAGAGUAGACAGGUUCCUGGCAAAAAGGACAGGUGAAGACCCAGUUGUACUUGUUCUUGUUCGGACACAUGACGAUUGUUUAAACAACUUACUUUCUAUAAGAAACACAUUGAAAGACUUUUGUUAGACUAGAUAAAAACCACUAAAUGACUUGGUCUUGAUGGGAAUUUCUCAGUGAUACCGAAGAGAAUAAGAAAUUAUUCAAAGACCCCAGCGAGGACAUUGCAUCUUACACUUAGAAUGGGAUCUGCACCCAUAGAUUGGAGAACAGCACGUUUAACACCAGUUUAUGAAAAGGAAGACAAAAUUGAACCAGGAAAUUACAGGCCAAAUAGUCUUCUGUUAGAGAGCCUGCAUCAUACGGUCUCAUAUAUGCUGUAUCAUGAAAACAUCUAUUUGUGAUCCUGAGAUUUUGCAGCAUUUCAACUGAAUUGACCUGCCAUUGCCAGUCAGUGAAACCAACAUUCUAUUUCUCUUAAAUUUCACUCUUUCUGGUUUGUGUAUAAUGUAAGUAUACUGUUCUGACAACUGAUUGUGUUUCACAACUUCGACGCCCACUCUUGUCCUGUGCGGCACUAACACUAACUCUUCACCCCACUAUAACUCUCAGAUUCCAUAGGAAAAUACCCUUUUUAACAGUUUUUUGUAAAUGUCCAAACAUCCCUUAGUCAAAGCUAACAACAUGCUGGAGGAGAGGCUUAAAAUACAAUAAUAUCUUCCAGGACAACUAUAAAAAUAUCCAUUCAUCCAUUUUCUUUCUCCAAUUCAAGGUUGUGGGGGAACUGCUGUCAGUGAUAUUCUCCAUGUUGCAUCUUUGCUGGAGUCUUGCUGUAAUUUAAGUAGAAUAUACUGUAGCAUAGAUUUCUAUGUUGAGUGAAGACCGAUUAACCUUUUUUAAAAAAAGGAAUCUACCUGUGUACACACAAAAUUAAAAAUAAACACCUAAAGCUACUGUACAUUUGGAAUCCAGAAAUCCUGUAAAUCUCUCAAUAAAUUUCAUUGUGCCAAA